AGCUGGGCAAUUAUGGAGAAGCUCAUUACUGGUAGUCUAGUCACUAGGUGACAAAUUACUUGGCCAUGGAAACCUAGUGAACAAAGAAAAAUAUACAUGGUCUUCAGUCCUAUCUGCUUCUAUAAUGAAAUGAUACACAUACUCAUGGAAAGCUUUAUCUAAAUGUGCAUCAUAAUCUGGGCAACAGAAAUGCUUCAUUCCCUUGAUAAAGAAACUGAGAACUAGUCAAGUUGAAUGACUUAUUUAAAGUC
rnacentral:lncRNA from 1 species